rnacentral:rRNA from 1 species
AUAAGAAUUAUUGGCCUUUGGUAACGUGUUAGCUGUUUCUAUGCUUAUACAUGAUAUUAUAAGAGUGAAGGGAGUGUUAUAGGCUCAUCAUCUGUGGGGUUUAAUACCUUAGCAUCCGAAGAGAAUAUAUUCUUUGAAAUUUAUAUUGAAAAAAGAAGUUAUGAGAUCCCGAUAUUCAGUAAAGAGUUUUGGACUGCAUCGAAAGAUGGUUUCAGUAAUAGAAAAUUAGGAGAGAUUAAUAAAGUGCCAGAAAUCUCGGUUAAACUUUGUUCUUCGAGUUAAUUUGUUUGUUUGGAUAAGUAGAAGUAAAAAAAAGAUAAAUCGGUAAUAAGUAUGUGGUUAAAUACAUCAUAUAUCUGAGAAUUUAGGUUCUUUUAAUCUUUAAUCUUACGAGGCUGAAUAUGCGACGAGGAUUUGAGACCCUCUUAGUAAAGUUGUUUUUGGAGCCAACGAGGACUACGAACUUUGGUUUAAAACUCAAAAAGGUUGGCGGCAUUUCAUAUCAGUUAGGGAAACUUGGCGGUUAAUUCGAUGAUCCCCGAUAUACUUCACCUUUAUUUUUCCUCUUAUACCGCCGUUGUAAUUCAUCUAUCUUGAAGAGAACAGAAUUAGGUGUGAACACCCUUCGUUUACGAAGGAGUGUGUGAAUUCAGGUAAACGUGAGGGCUGUAAAGGGCUUAGCUGAGUUACAGUUGUUUUUCAUUGUUGGAGGUUAUUUUGAAAAAGAAUAACAAAAAGCGAACUUGUUAGUAAGACUAAAUGAGAGAGUUGGUCUGAAUAGGGUUAUUGAAAUGCGUACAAACCGCCCGGCGCCCUUCAAUAAUCAACAGAAGGUAAGUCGUAACAAGGUAAUUGUAGUAGAAACUGCCGUUUGCAAUUUUU